GAACAGGAGCCGCGGCGCGCGUCGGUUGUUUGUGUAUGUUGAGAGAGCACAGUGGGCGGGACAGGCUGAGCCUGCGUGCUGAUUGGCUGGCGCCGCUGAGCCAUGUACGAGAGGGGAGGGGGAGCAGCAGCCAGCAGAGUGCCCGCCCCCCGUGACACAGAAGGGGAGACUGGUGAAUCUGCUGCAGUCAGCGCGCGCGGGAGAGAAUAAAAAGGAUCGAUCCUGUUAAAAGAAUAUUAUUCAAUAUCAAUACCCGCGUUGGUAUCGAUAGUAUCGAUCCACCCACCUCUAUUAUAAAGUCGAACGGGGCUUUGUCGGGACUCAGAAGCAAAGUUGGGAAACAAAAAGAGGUUGCUUUCCAAAGAACAUAAGUACACCCCUUUCAGUGUUGCAUCUCUUUAAAUGUCACUUUCUGGUGAACGUGCAUUGGUGGGGGCCUGAGUCCUGUGUUUCUUUUUGCUGUUGGAAAUCUCUGUUAUAGGUAAAGCUGUAAAAACAAAUGGAGGAAAAUGUGCACAUACAAGCGGGAGACAAAGUCUCUUUAAGCUGCCCGGUCACUGAAUAUAAAAAACGUUGCAAAGGCAACUUCAACAAAGUCCUCUCUGAGGAUGAGAGCAACUUCCCUACCCUC